CGUUAUCCUGAGACUUGAGUGAGGGUCUCCCCAGCUAUGGGGGGUCUUCCAUUUGGGGGCUUGUCCGGGAUUUACGACCACCCUUGACUCUCUGAAGACCCCUUGGAGGAAUAAUUAUCACUGCAGUUCUCACCAGAACUAACCUUGAGCUCAUCAAAUAUGUAUCAGUGAAGAUGGAGUAACGUGAUAUAAAGAACAAAAGCUAGAACAAAACGAAGAUUGGUAGAAAACAAAAACCUUUGCUGGAGUUAUUAACUGGAGCACAAGUGAGCAAGUGUACCUGUCACUCCAGAAAUGUAAGGAAUGGAAACAAAAGGACAGACGGAUCACUGACUGGGCUUGCUGACCACCAAUCUAACUCAGGUUUGAACCCGAGGUUUCAUUCAAGCUUGCCAAACCCUCUACCAAUGAGAACACACAGGGAAUGGAAUGAAUCUAUAGUAACAAGCCACAGAAACUGUUUCCAUGCAAGUUGGAUGUUCUAUGCAUCCAGAGUAUACUUAUGUUUUUACAUCUGACUGUAUAUUAGAAAAAAUGGCUGAUAAGGGAACAAGUAGGUAAAUGAGAAAAAGAAGAUGUUAAAUCAGACACACUUUUGAUGAAGAAGUUGACUGGAAGAAGUAUUCUGACUUACCCAUGAAAUACAAACUAGUCAUCCAUCGGAGAGGACUUCUAGCAGCCUCAGCUUGGGGGCUAACACCUGGGAGCUAAGGCAGAUGCUCUCUGUUGACUGUCUUUAAAGAAGCCUCCUGACCAUGCCCA